rnacentral:rRNA from 1 species
AGGACGAACGCUGGCGGCGUGCUUAACACAUGCAAGUCGAGCGGAAAGGCCCUUCGGGUACUCGAGCGGCGAACGGGUGAGUAACACGUGAGUAACCUGCCCCUAGCUCUGGGAUAGCUCCGGGAAACCGGGAUUAAUACCAGAUACGACCACUUUAGACAUCUGUCGUGGUGGAAAGGAUUCCGGCUAGGGAUGGGCUCGCGGCCUAUCAGCUUGUUGGUGGGGUAACGCCUACCAAGGCGACGACGGGUA